AACAAGGUAAACUUUAGGUUUUUGUAUCUAACUUUGACUAUCUGUCUUAUAUGAAUUUUUUUUAUAAUUCGUAUUUUCAUUGUUGUUAGAUGAUAAAACGUGAUUAAUAUUUUAUGCGUGUCUUGUCUUUUUAAUUUUGUUCAUAAUUUUUUCAAAUAAAAUGGAUAGUUAAACAUUGGGCACGGAAAUUAAGGUUUGUCUUUUUU
rfam:Oryza rufipogon genomic scaffold, chr12